GCCCCUUUUUAUCCCGAUUUCCCUCUAAACAUUAACCCCGGAACCUCCUCCCGAUUUUCCCCGGCCAUUCCCAGAUUUCCAGGCUCCCGACCCUCAUUCCCAAACUUGGGAUGAAGCCCCAGCUGCCCGGGAUGGAGGAAGAAUUCCAUCAAAAUUCCACGGAGCUGCUCCGGCUGCGGCGGGAAAACCAAAAGCUCCGGAUCCAGCUGGAAGCGGCGCGGGAAGCCGGGAUGGGAGCGCUCCGGGAACUUCCCGGGAAGCUGGCCGGGAUUUUCGGGA